rnacentral:lncRNA from 1 species
UUCCAUGUGGCAAGCCGCCAAUGUUGAAAGCGUGUGAGUGAGGAGCCAUCACCUCCAUAGCACCACCUGGUCCACCUCCACAUGCAUCUCCCUCUUUCCAUCGUUUCUCUCCUCCCCAACCCAUCUUGCUCCACUUUGUCUUGGUGUCUCGUGGGAAAGUGUGGAUCCGCCGCUGUUUAUCACUAACCACGACGAGUCAUCACCACGGGAGUAUCAGCCCCUGCCAUCACAUGCCUCGUUAUGUGCCAUCCCGUCCAUGGCGUUGAGGCUUCAUAUAUGGUUUGUAUGUGGAGAACGUAAGCCGAGAGGGAAAGGAAACAUACGAGCCGGAGACACCGUAUCUUGACACCAGCGGGACUGAUGAUCUUCACCACCACUAGCCGUAAACCAUCAGAGUUGUCGCUCAUACCGCUGUAGUACGAGAGAUACACCGUUCCAGGUCCAUGUCGUAAAGGUUAAGUGUUCCUCAUGUGUGUCUUGGGCAGUAAGUUUCUAAACCCUAAAUAUUAUUUUGUUAUGUCAUGGUUUCAUGUGUCUAAAUCAGUUUUAAUAAAAGAAAUCGUUUAAAAGAAUGGGAUUUCAAGCCAAAUUGUUGUAUAACACGCACAUAUACAACCAUUCAGAAAUAAUAUACAAACUAUUUAUAGAUUUUCAAAAAUUUGUCUCAAAAGUUACAUCUUUUCAAUAUAAAAAUUGUUUUUAUUGAAAUAAUACAUAUAUGUAUUGAAAUGAUACAUAUAUGAAAAGUCACAACUUUUCAAUAUAAACAGUUAUUUUAAAUAAAAAGCCAUAACUUUUAAUUGUUGAAAACAUAUAACCUUUCAACUGAAGUGAAGUUGUGUUUUUUUCAUUCUUAAAGGUUGUGAAAAAAUAUCUCUAAAAGUUACAUCCUUCGAAAAAAUGUCACUAAUACCUGCUUGAUUUUUAAAAAGUUGCAUAUUUUACUAAUCGUACAUUUUCACUUCGAAAUGUUAUAAAGUCCUACAGUUGCAACUUUAUAUUAUUUUUAUAUAUACCUAUUCACACACUUUACCAUUCGUACCUUUUCAAUUCUAUUUAAACAAUUUUGGGUCAAAUUUUUUAUACACAAAAAAUCUAAUAUUCUAUGUAUCACAUAUGACGUGAUCAAGAAGUUGUCUCCUUCACUGUUAUGAAUCUUACUGAUCAUAAAGUUAAAGCGAACGCACAUAACCAUAUCUUCCAGAGAAAACUCUAUCUUCCACCAUUUUAUUAUUAGUAGAUUAUUAGUAGAUUAGUGAAAAUUUAAAUUUGAAAAAUGCAUGACAAAGACUAUUUAUAGAUUUUUAAAAUCUAUUUGAAUAGUCACAACCCUUCAAUCUGAAUAGUCACAUUCAUCUAAUAGUCACAACUUUUCACUUUUUAAAAGAUACUUAUGAAUAGUCACAAUUUUUAGACAAUUAUUUAUAAAAGACACAACCUUACAACAUAGGACUUUUAGAAAAGACACAACCCUUUACACAUCUUUUUCAAAAGACACAACCUUUCAACAUAAGUGAGAUUCACAACCUUUGGCAUUAAUUGGGAUUGCUAUUAUUAGUAGAUAAUGCAAGCAAAUAAAAUUUACAACAACUGUAUAUGAUAUUUUGAUCUUUUGUUUUACUCUUGCGCGAACCAACUUCCAGAUGAAAAUCCGAAGAACAUAGAAUAAGCGUUUAUCUACUAAAGAAACGAGAAAUCGCUUCGCAAUGAGAUUGCUAAGCAUGUCUUUGUUGGUUUUCUCUCGUCUUUGUUGGUUACAUAUAAAGAAUAAGUUCUCUUGAGCCGAUAGGAAAAAAGUAAUAGGUUUUACAUCCAUUUUUUCUCUAUCUUAGAUAUAUAUAAUUUGAUUAAUUGAGAAGUGUAACUUAGAAAAUGAAUACAAAUACUGAAGAAUCUCGUCCGUGCAUCAAGAUUCCCAUCUAUUAGAUUAUUAAGUCAAUUGAUAGUUGGUUAAGGUUUCCUUUUGCCUAACCAUUGAUUUAGCUUCCAUUUACUAAACCAUAUGUAUAAUUACUCUACAUUGUACAGUUGUAUACGGUAAUUUUGAGCAAUAUAUCAUUUUACAUUUUAACCAACUUUCGCAUCUCUCUCAAGUUCAAAGCUCUAAUACCAUCCGCUGUAAGGUGUAUUAAUAUGUGCGUUGGCAGGAAAGAUUAAGUGUGAAACUCUUCUCUAUGUGUAUUGUGGGUGUAAUGUUUAUAUGGAUAGUCAAUCGCCUCAUUUUUAUCAAGAACAUAAAUUCCAAAUCAAAUUAGAAAAGAUAUAAACUAAUAUAUAGAAGAUAUUACUCAAUAUAUUUAUAAAUUAUAAACAAUUAGUUUUGGUUGAAAGUUCAUCUAAAUUAAUUUAAAAUUUGAAUUGUCCUCUUUUUGUCAAAGAUGAUGUAACUUGAUGAAACAUUUUUCUUUAUUGGUCUUUGUGCUGUUUGGUGCAUUCAAAUGACUUGUGUGUCAGUGUCCUUCGUCAUAGUCUUGUAGAAGCUCCAAAAUAGUGACAGUGUAUCUUUUCGUACCAGGUUGAUAAAUCUAUGAAACCCUCCAGCUAUGUAGCUCAUCCAAAUUGGAUCGUGAAAAUCAAACGUUUCAUUACCACAAUAGAGUGGUGUAAAGGAAUCUAUGAGUGGCGUGGAUCUCAUGCUUUUUCUGGUUUUUUCUAGAGUUCUUCACUUUUCUUGUACUCGGAUGGAGGCUUUUCUGGUUAAAGUAUUUCUCGCACGACCUUGUGGAGGUUUCUCCAACCUUUUUCUUUUUAUUUUUUGGUCUUUCCUUAGAUCUGGCGGAAUAUACAAGUCUGGUAGUUUUUUGGAGGUGAAUCUCUUUUUUUUUUCUGAAACACUAGUAGGUAUAUGGCACAGUGAACCUCUACGAAAGCUUCAUGGUCCUGGUGGCUCGUCGAUUGACGGUUGGUACUCUCUGUUAGAGAAUGAUGGAGAGGCUGUUUGAGAUUACACAUCAUGGCUUGGGUUUGUACCCGUUGUUAUGGGGAAAUAUGGUAACGACAUGUCUAUUUUUGGAGACGGUGGUUCUCUUGGAUUUGUAACCUCUUGACCACGGAUUCCUUUCUUGACCUGGUUGAAUUUAGAGUCAUGCGCGGUUUCUAGAUCAUGUGUGAUGGCGAGGCUCCAAAAUAACUUGCGGCGUUAGAGUUUUGGGAGUCGGAUUUUCUUUUGAAAAUCGGCGUUGUGACUGCAAAACCUGUUCACCGUAGUUAUAUCUCAUACGGUUUAACCGUGGAUGGAUCUACAUGCCGGUCUGGGAUGAUGCAGAAAAGUCUGAUUGGUUAGACCACCUCCAAUAGAAGGCUCUAUUCAUUAAAAUUCUAAACAUGUGUAUAUAUAUAUGUAUGUUAUACAUACAUAUACAUGUGUUUUUAGGAUUCCAAUGGAUAAGUGCUUUUAGAAGCCGGUGUUCGUCAAAGUUGAAAGUUUUUGUUUCCAUUCUUCUUUUCAAUGCCUACUUCUUAUUCUCUCAGAUCUACAGGCUGAUAAUUUUUGAGGAUGAUUGGUUGCGGCUGUAAAUAUUUUAGACAGUCAAAAUUUAGUCUAUGACUAUAGAUUA